rnacentral:rRNA from 1 species
GAUGAACGCUAGCUACAGGCUUAACACAUGCAAGUCGAGGGGUAGCAGGGUAGCAAUACCGCUGACGACCGGCGCACGGGUGAGUAACACGUAUCCAACCUUCCCAUAACUCAGGGAUAGCCUUUCGAAAGAAAGAUUAAUACCUGAUAGUACUUAUAUAAGGCAUCUUAUUUAAGUUAAAGAUUUAUUGGUUAUGGAUGGGGAUGCGUUCCAUUAGAUAGUUGGUGAGGUAACGGCUCACCAAGUCUUCGAUGGAUAGGGGUUCUGAGAGGAAGAUCCCCCACAUUGGUACUGAGACACGGACCAAACUCCUACGGGAGGCAGCAGUGAGGAAUAUUGGUCAAUGGGCGAGAGCCUGAACCAGCCAAGUAGCGUGAAGGAUGAAGGUCCUAUGGAUUGUAAACUUCUUUUAUAGUAGAAUAAAGUUAGCCACGUGUGGUUAUUUGUAUGUAUACUAUGAAUAAGGAUCGGCUAACUCCGUGCCAGCCGCCGCAGUAACAC